AACAGGACCGAUCCGACGGACAAGUGUGUCGCGCUCAUGACCUUAACAUCACAUUUAACGCAACCCUCGGGACCUUGGGUGCGGCCGCCUCUCCAGCAGAUAUUUUUAUUGCUGCUCAGCGGGACUUUAAACUUUAUUCUCCAUUUCAUGGCUGUAUUUGAGGUGCGUACGAUUUCUGGAAGCCCAGGGCUUGCCGGUGGAGCACUCGAUCUCUAUUCCGGGCCCGACCAGUGUUCAGCCUGUGACCUUGACGAGAUUGACACUCUCCAAGCUCUAUUUUCUUGGAAUGAACUGGUGUCCAGAACAAGCUCGUGCUGAGCUGUGUGUGAAGGUGGGCCGAGGUGGAGGCCAGGCAGCCAGGAGCCCACAGGCUUGGCUUGUCCGACGGCACGGCCAAGCCCACGCUCAGCCUGCCCAAGAUGGUGAAGGGGACACAGUCCCAGGCGAGCAAGCUGGAUCGAAGCCAGUGACAGCUCUCCCAGAGGGUGAAGAAGGGAAUUUAAGAACACUUCACCCAUCUGGAACUAGGAAAUGCCGUGGGAGCAGACAUAGCCAAGCAUCUGUGGUAAGAAGCGUCCCACCCUUCCUUCAGGCAGAGCUUGGGACCUUAGGAGCUUAGGAGCUGCUAGACUGUAGGACCCUCGUUGAUGAGAAGCAGCAGGUUAGAGGUGGGCAUGCUGGAAACAGCAGGGAAUGUCAUGUGUCCAACCCAAUACCAGGAUUUUUCUUAGAAGGCAGGAAAAAACUGUACAAAACCAGAGAAACAAUUUUCAAGAUUCUACGGGGGAAAUUUCCACAUAUAAUUUCCAUCCUCUACUUACAUAAAAGUAGAGAUUGCCAGAAACCUCUGUGUGCCUAACACCCAGCUUCAGUGCACAUCAGCCCUUGGCUGCACUGUUUCAGAAAAAAGAAGCACUUACAAAGCUCUGGUUUUGAGGCAUAGUCUCUGACGUUUCCUGCGACCCCCACCCAUCGAUCCUCCCUGCAGCCCAUCUCAGCUCAGGAGAGCACUGUGUUCACAGUGACGACCUUGAGUUUGUAGAGAAAACAACACUGUUCAGCGUGGUUCUCAAGAGGUCGGAGAAGUGGGUAAUCCAUUAAAAAAAAGACUUCUAAGAAAAUGCUUCAAAGAUUUGAUGCCAAAAGUGGCGGCUGCUUGGCACUUAUCUCCAUGCAGAGGGCGUCACAGUAACGGAGGCACCCUGUCCUCCUUCCCUGCAGAGAGGGGGCCAGUUGCAGCUGCGGAUUCCACACUCUUCCUGCCAUUACGGUUUUGGGCAUUAGUGCCAGUUUUCUGGGUUAUCUCUGACAAGCCUAAGGUUAGUAUUUACGAAAAAAUAAAACAAAGCAACCCACCA
rnacentral:lncRNA from 13 species